rnacentral:lncRNA from 1 species
UAACUUCAUUUCAAUUAAACUAACUCAUGACAGUCUCACUCUAAUAACUAACUAACACCUACUGCAUAACUAACUACUUUGAUGCAAAGCAAAUCCCUAAUCUCUAACUUAACACUAGAACUCAAUCAUACUAACUCUAACAGAAUUUUAACAAUGUUAACUUGAAUAACUAAUUUCUUCACAAAUUCAAUUAACUGUUAACUCUGCCCUAAC